UACGGGGGGAGCAAGCGUUGUUCGGAUUUACUGGGCGUAAAGCGUGUGUAGGCUGCCUUGUAAGUCGGGGGUGAAAUCCUGAGGCUCAACCUCAGAAUUGCCUUCGAUACUGGGCGUCUCGAGACCGGAAGAGGUGAGUGGAACUGCGAGUGUAGAGGUGAAAUUCGUAGAUAUUCGCAAGAACACCAGUGGCGAAGGCGGCUCACUGGUCCGGUUCUGACGCUGAGGCGCGAAAGCGUGGGGAGCAAACAGG
rnacentral:rRNA from 1 species